GGUUUCGUAAGACAGAUGUGAAAUCCCCGGGCUUAACCUGGGAACUGCGUUUGUGACUGCGAGACUGGAGUGUGGCAGAGGGGGGUGGAAUUCCACGUGUAGCAGUGAAAUGCGUAGAGAUGUGGAGGAACACCGAUGGCGAAGGCAGCCCCCUGGGUUAACACUGACGCUCAUGCACGAAAGCGUGGGGAGCAAACAGGAUUAGAUACCCUGGUAGUCCACGCCCUAAACGAUGCGAACUAGGUGUUGGGGAAGGAGACUUCUUUAGUACCGUAGCUAACGCGUGAAGUUCGCCGCCUGGGGAGUACGGUCGCAAGAUUAAAACUCAAAGGAAUUGACGGGGACCCGCACAAGCGGUGGAUGAUGUGGAUUAAUUCGAUGCAACGCGAAAAACCUUACCUACCCUUGACAUGCCAGGAACCCUGCUGAGAGGUGGGGGUGCUCGAAAGAGAGCCUGGGCACAGGUGCUGCAUGGCUGUCGUCAGCCCGUGUCGUGAGAUGUUGGGUUAAGUCCCGCAACGAGCGCAACCCUUGUCAUUAGUUGCCAUCAUUUAGUUGGGCACUCUAAUGAGACUGCCGGUGACAAACCGGAGGAAGGUGGGGAUGACGUCAAGUCCUCAUGGCCCUUAUGGGUAGGGCUUCACACGUCAUACAAUGGUCGGUACAGAGGGUUGCCAAGCCGCGAGGUGGAGCCAAUCCCAGAAAGCCGAUCGUAGUCCGGAUCGUAGUCUGCAACUCGACUGC
rnacentral:rRNA from 1 species